rnacentral:rRNA from 1 species
GCCAGACUCCUACGGGAGGCAGCAGUGGGGAAUAUUGCACCAUGGGGGAAACCCUGCUGCAGCAACGCCGCUUGAGUGACGCCGUAUUUCGGUAUUUCCCGCUCUAUCAGCCUUGAAGAAGAUGCCGGUACCUGAUUCCUCCGCCCCGGCUCCCUCCGUGCCAUCCUCCUCGGUAAUCCUUCUGUGGCAAGCGUUAUCCGGAUUUCCUGGGUGUAAAGGGCGUGUAGGCGGGACUGCAAGUCAGAUGUGAAAAUUAGGGGAGCAACCCAUAACCUGCAUUUGAAACUGUAGUUCUUGAGUGAUGGAGAGGCAGGCGGAAUUCCGUGUGUAGCGGUGAAAUGCGUAGAGAGACGGAGGAACACCAGUGGCGAAGGCGGCCUGCUGGACAUUAACUGACGCUGAGGCGCGAAAGCGUGGGGAGCAAACAGGAUUAGAUACCCCGGUA